UACAGAGGUCUCAAGCGUUGUUCGGAUUCAUUGGGCGUAAAGGGUGCGUAGGCGGCGCGGUAAGUCGGGUGUGAAAUCUCGGAGCUUAACUCCGAAACUGCAUUCGAUACUGCCGUGCUUGAGGACUGGAGAGGAGACUGGAAUUUACGGUGUAGCGGUGAAAUGCGCAGAUAUCAGGAGGAACACCAGCGGCGAAGGCGGCGCUCUGGGCCGGAACUGACGCUGAGGAGCGAAAGCGUGGGGAGCAAACAGG
rnacentral:rRNA from 1 species